GUUAUUCAAUAUUUAUGUUGGUGAUUACACAAUCUGACUUAGACGCUACGAUUAUCAAUGGGAAAAUGUUCCAAUUGGACAUAUCUAGAAUUGUACUAUAGUGUUAUUGAUGGGAAAUUGCUAAGUGCUAACAACCACAUGCCCCUAUACCUACAAAGGAGUUGUUUUAUUGAAAGGGGCAAGUAAUUACUACUCACAUGGCCAACCCUCAAGAUUGUCCUCACAAGCUACAUUCAAUUUCUCAAAGGC
rnacentral:lncRNA from 1 species